AAACUCAAAACCCUAAUUUGCAUUCCAGAUCCUCUCCAUUGUCUCUUUUUCUCUCUCUCUCAUUCGCAACAAUGGAGGAAUCAGUCGAUGGUGGUGUGAUGACGAUGCUCGUGAGGGUUCGAUUUCAUAAACGGAGAACAAACGAAGUUCUGGUUUGAAUCGAUUCAGAGAUCAUUCAAGGUAUAGACCAUCUUCAGUGAAGAAGAAUAUACUCUGCCUUUGUUAUGGAACAAACUGGAAAGAAUCUGCUUCAUCCGUGAAUGAGUUUUAAUGUCACUGACGUAUUGCACAAAAGGGGGAUUUUUCUGAGUACCCAUCAAGUUACGCAUAGGGAAACUCCACGAACUGUUGUGAAGCAGUUUAACUUUGCUGCAGUAUCUUGGUGGAGAGGUUGAAACCUACCAUGUAUCACAUUCUAAUUUCUAGAUAAUGCUUGAUUAAGACAUGGGAUAUGCUCAAUCACCGACGAUGAGCUUGAACCUGUAUAAGCCAGAGACUUCUUCUACAAUGUUUGGAGCCAAUGAGGUUGAGGUUGACCGUGUGAUAGGUUGAACCAAAAUUAUAAGGUGUGGUAUCAAUUACGGGUGUGGAAAAAAGCUUUAAUCAUGCUUUUGAUUUGGGUCAGGUUAGCUUGAAUUUGGUUUGGAUUCUUAAUUUACACUAAAUGUUCCAUAUAAGGCUGGUUAGUUGGCUAUGAAUGACCCUGUUCUUGAUGUUAUA